AUUGAACGCUGGCGGCAGGCUUAACACAUGCAAGUCGAGCGAGCGGCGGACGGGUGAGUAAUGUCUGGGAAACUGCCUGAUGGAGGGGGAUAACUACUGGAAACGGUAGCUCAUACCGCAUACCAUCAGAUGUGCCCAGAUGGGAUUAGCUAGUUGGGGGGGGAAAGGCUCACCUAGGCGACGAGCCCUAGCUGGUCUGAGAGGAUGACCAGCCACACUGGAACUGAGACACGGCCCAGACUCCUACGGGAGGCAGCAGUGGGGAAUAUUGCGCAAUGGGGGCAACCCUGACGCAGCCAUGCCGCGUGAAUGAAGAAGGCCGUCGGGUUGUAAAGUUCUUUCGGUAGCGAGGCGUUAACUACAGAAGAAGCACCGGCUAACUCCGUGCCAGCAGCCGCGGUAAUAC
rnacentral:rRNA from 1 species